UGGAUAACCGUGGUAAAUCUAGAGCUAAUACAUGCACAAAAUCCUGACUGCUUUCGGGUAGGAGGGAUGUAUUUAUUAGAUUCAAAAGCCAAUGCCUUCUUUCGGGGAGGAAAUUUUUAAUAUGGUGAAUCAUGAUAACUUUACGAAUCGCAUGACCUUGUGUCGGCGAUAGUUCAUUCAAAUAUCUGCCCUAUCAACUUUCGAUGGUAGUAUAGAGGACUACCAUGGUGGUAACGGGUAACGGAGAAUCAGGGUUUGAUUCCGGAGAAGGAGCCUGAGAAACGGCUACUACUUCCAAGGAAGGCAGCAGGCGCGCAAAUUACCCAAUCCCGACACGGGGAGGUAGUGACAAAAAAUAACAAUACCGGUCUUAUACAAGUCUGGUAAUUGGAAUGAGUACAAUCUAAAACCUUUAACGAGUAUCAAUUGGAGGGCAAGUCUGGUGCCAGCAGCCGCGGUAAUUCCAGCUCCAAUAGCAUAUAUUAAAGUUGUUGCAGUUAAAAAGCUCGUAGUUGGAUUUUGAUGUUACAUAUGAUGACCCGCCUGUAUAGGUGUGUUGUUGUUAUGUGUACGUCUCCUUACUAGACUUUCAUGAAUAUUCUUAAUUGAGUGUUCAUUGUAUUCCGAUUCGUUGGGGUGCGUGGUAGGAGGACCUAUUGGGUUUGAGAUUGUGGAUUAAUUUCUUCGGAGGUUGGUUCUGCUUAGAUUCAGUAACCUUUUAUUAGAAAUCUAGUUCAUUUACUUUGAGUAAAUUAGAGUGUUCAAGGCAAGCAAAUUUAUUUCUGCAAUGAAUACUAUUAGCAUGGGAUAAUGGAACAGGACACGUAUUCUAGUUUUCCGUUGGUUUCUAGAAUUUUUGUACUCUUCGGAGUGCGUAGUGUAAUGAUUAAAAGGGACAGUUGGGGGCAUUCGUAUUUCAUUGUCAGAGGUGAAAUUCUUGGAUUUAUGAAAGACGAACUUCUGCGAAAGCAUUUGUCAAAGAUGUUUUCAUUAAUCAAGAACGAAAGUUAGGGGAUCGAAGACGAUCAGAUACCGUCGUAGUCUUAACCAUAGACUAUGCCGACCAGGGAUUGGAAGAUGUCUUAUCCUAUGUAACCGUAGAAA
rnacentral:rRNA from 1 species